CUUCUACGAAACUACUACCUCUUCGCGGUGUAGAAGACAACUAGCACUAAAGUUGUGAAACUAAAUGUAGC
rnacentral:ribozyme from 1 species